GGCAUCUAGUGCAAUUGGUCAAACAUACGCCCCCGGAAAGGGUGAAAUGCGGGUUUGAGUCCCGCCUAAUGUCA